ensembl:lncRNA
AGCAGUGAGUGGUUCUCCCGGUCACGGGUACCUGGGCUGUUCUCAUGGGAAAUUUGGACUAAAUUCCGCACCAAAUUUUUAAGAUGUUCUCUAAAUCCAGUCUGAAUGCUGAAGGCUUACUUAACCGGUUAAAAUAGGAUGUCAACAAGUGACGCAGGAGAGCUCAGAGUUGUAGGAGGAGAGACAGCUACGCCUCUGUACGGGACACCACCAGCAGCAGCAGCAACAAGGACACGGGCUACAACUGCAAGAGAACAACAAGAUGAAACAUUUGGUGAAACAUUCAAGCAGGAGGAACGCCAUGGUGACAAACGCCCAGCUGAGCAGUUCUCUCACCAAUCAGCAAUCACACAGAAGGAAACACACAAAGCACUAAGAAAGGACCAAACUUCUUCCUGUGGUGAUGCAGAUAUCCAGUUCCAGCAGUCCAGCUUCACCUCCUGCCACGUCCUCAGACUCUCCACUAAUCCAGGCAUAAAACACAGCAAGAGUUUAUACAGAUUGAUUGAACCACAGCGAUUUGAGAUCAAGGACAGCAGUUUUCAGAUUAAUGGAAGAACGUCUGCAUCACAAACCUCUAUAGAGGCACCCAGCAUCUAUCGAUUGUCAGAGGUAAUACCAUUUCCAGCCAAGGAGAAAGACAAGGUCAUCACUGCUGAUUGCAAUGAACUGGAGAUUACCAGGGACUUGAGCAGAACUCAGGCUUGUUCAAAUAGUGACUUUGGGACACAUAAGCUUAAUGCCUUGCAUAGACUUCCAUUUGGAUCACAACCAAGGACUUACACUGGAUCUCUAACUCGAGCUGAGUCAGAGGGAAAUAUACAGGACCGUACAAAAGGCCUUGCAGACCGUCUUCAGGAAUUAUCUGACCCGCCCAGAACUAUGUUGUCUUCCUCCAUGGUCACGGUUCUCGCUCCUCACUGGAGUGGCCGACUGCGACGUUCCAAAAGAUUUGAUGGAACCGGCAGCUCUGAAGCCCAGGGAAAUACGCAAGAUGUGACAGGUGCUGCAGCAAACCGUGGUUUUCAGCAGACUCGAAGCCAACAUGGUGUGGAGAGGGGGUUUACAGGUGGACUGGGAACCCAACUGAGGCCCCCAUUUUCAGAUCUCAGGAGGAACACAGUGGACUGGUCAACUAAAAGUGAUCCUUUGAGCUUGGAAUCUAAAAGGGAAAUGAUUAAAACUGUUUCUUUGGACGUGAACUCUGGAAGGAUGGACAAUAGAAAAAUAGACAGAGGUUCUUUAAGCGCUUUACCUACCAGUGCCUCUGUAUCGCAGAGCCAAAAUGAACAAAGGCAAAAUCCACAAACUGUCCAUCAAGGCGGACACUCAUCUUCAAGCUCCAAACCAACAACCAGCAACGUACUUCUUUCUUUAAGGAGAGGCAACAUCGGUGGCAAGAAUCUCUCACAGAGCUUUCUCAAUAAUAAUGAACAAGAGAGGCCAAAGCCGCUCCUCUCUCCAUCAUCUAUUUCUUACAGGACAACUGAAACUAGCCCUGUCCUUUCCCCAUCACCCUCCAGCCUGAGAGAGCAGAGCACCUCUGACAGGUUCAUCUUUGCACCUUUACCAGUGGACAAAAAUGCAGACGGCAAACCCUUUGUCCAACAGUCUCAGACAAUAAAUAGGAUUCAGUCCAGUCUCACAUCCUCACAGACAUUUUUAGGUAAAGGACCAUCAGAAAGUCAACAGAACUACAGGGACAGAAGUAAAACUCUAUUUUCAGAGACCCCAGUCUCCUUGUCCAGACAGCCCCCAUUUGACUCUUCUGCCCAAGUGAAAACCCAGUCCUUUCCUAAAAGGACCACGCUGAAACAAACUUCCUGGUGGAAGCAAGUUACCCAGGAAAGCAGUUUCCCUUUCACCCCAAAAGACACAACCAACAACAAAGACAAGCCAAACACAACCUUAAUUCCACCCUCCAAUAAUAAUAGUGACAUGACAUCUCCAAGUCAGCCUGAUAACAAAAGCAGGGGUAGUCCGGUCAACAACAACAGAGACAACAAUAACACAGCAGAGUCAGUUUGCACAGGUAAUAUGAACCUUUUUAUGAGGGCACAGGGAGGAACUCACCAUCUCGGACAAAGAAAUGCUGGGAAUUCACCUGACUGUGAUUUGCACAGGUCUGUCAAGGACCAGUAUAGCUCAAAUGUAAACAACAGAGAAUACCCAAAGCCGCACAGUGUGCCAGAUGUUUUGUCUAGUUCUAAAAUUAGCAGAGCUACAGCACAAACAACACUGUGUCAACCUAAAGAUCCAGGCAAAUAUGAUUUAACCGAUAGUUCAUAUACAGCAAAUAUGUCUGAGUUACCAUCUGCUUUGCAAAAUCCCAGGAGCUCAGAUACACCCACAGAGAGCAGCAGCAAGUACAAAAAUAAUUAUUUCCCACCAAAACCCAACAACACCCCCAUGCCUCCUCUCAGCAUAGACUCACACAGGUUUAUCAGCACACCGCUCUCUCUUGAUAUCACCAGUACUGUCAAUGGUAAAGUUCAUACAUGUCAAAAUGCCUCUGGUCCCCAAACCUCAAAAAUGAAAAGUAGUCCUUCCUACCAUUCUCAGUCUGUUCCUUCUCAGACCAAUAUUCAUACCUCGGCAUAUGCAACCUCCACUGGCUCUUUGUCCCAGAAAACAAAAUUUACCAACAUUUCCUCUGCCACACCUCUUGGAUUUGAAAGAAGCUAUGCUUCCAUUCCUAAACCUUUCCACCCUAAAAGUAUGUCCAGUCUGAUUUCCACAGUCGGUUCUGUCUCCAAAAAAGACUAUAGCGCCACUGCUUCCAACUCUUCUUCCUCUGCCACUGGCAGCCACCCUGUAGCCACCACUGCCUCAAGUUCUUCCCUUCUCAGUCCUGCGGUCACCUCUGCCGUUACCUCUCCUACCUCUGCCACUGUCUCCACUCUCCUAACGCCUCCUGCAACCCCAGUUAUUACCAACUCCACUUCAGAAACUUCAAGCCCUAAAAAAGAGGGGAAAUAUUCCAGCAGCUUAGAGAAAGAGCCAAAGAAACUUGAGAAAAAGAAAGUGAGAAGAGUGACAUGGGAUGACUCAGUGGAUCUGCAACAGUCAGAGUCCAUCGCUGUGGAGAAGCCAGAGUCGUCAGAAGUCCAAGCGACCCCUCAAGCUACAUCUAAGCACAUGCGAAAUGCUCCAUCCAUCUUCUCCUUUCUGAGAUUGAGCAGUUCAACAAGUUCUUCUGUUUGUCCCCCUAAACCCAAGACCUCCAGCAUUGAGGUGGAAAAACCAGGAAAGUAUAGAUCCUUAUCAUCUGACUCGGCUGAUUUAGCAUUCAGGGAGUUUGAGCGAAGCAAGCAAAGAGCUGGUGAUACUAUGAUUUUUUACCAGGGAAGACAGGACUUGCCCACACCAAGGCAUGAAAGGACACUAUCAGUGGAAUCUGGCACAGUUCAGUGCCGUACUUCAGCUCCUCUCUCCCUCCCUCCUGACUUUUCAAGUGGCUAUAAGGUUCGUUAUAGCUCUCCUCCUUACUCCACGCUCAUGUCCGCAAGGAUGACACAAGGGGAGACAAAGACGAGAACGACCAGACCAACCCUCUUCUCACAACCCUCCCAGUCAAAUUACACCCCACAUCUCUCUGUAAAUACUGACCCAGUUUCAGUCAUGACCUUAUCCACAUCCAAACCUCCUAUGUCACCUCCUAGACCCUCCCUUUCCUUGUCCUUACCCUUCCAAAAGAAACCUCCCAAACAAGAAAGUCCAAAUGUUGAGGUUUCAGAAGCUGAUCGAGCAAGCAACAAUAACAGCGGAGAUAAAGGCCAAGAGCGAAAGCUAUUACUUGUAGACAACAGAAUUCACAUCAGACCUCCUUCCCUGCAAGGUGAUAAGGCAGACGGCUCCACAUAUGUAACUGAGACACUGGUUUACAGCCUUAAAUCCAAAGUAGAUGCAUCAACAGCCGCAAAAAACACCACACCUAAUGCUUUACAGCAUACCAAUAACACGCCGGUUUCCAUGGAGACCAAAUUUAGUCAACAGUCCCUGACAGGGCAGAGUAUAGGAGCAGCAGGUGAACCAUGUCGUCAUUCAGGUCAGAGCUCCAACAGCAGCAGCUCAACAGAGAGUCAGUCCCGGGAGACAGAAGACUCCAGCAAAAGCAUGAAGGAGACUAUAAUGGGGAAAAGCAGGUUUUUCUCAGUGGACGUUAAUAAUGAACAAAACACAAAGAGAAGCCGAUUUGCACUGAAGAAGAGCGUCAGUACACCAAACUCCAGUUUGACAAGGUCAGAGUCAGACAGGGCCAAGAGUAACAACAAAGUAGACCAAGUCUUUAGCAAACUAAAGCAAAAAUUAAGCACAAGAUGGUCAACCUCACAAGCACCUUCUGUUAGCGGAUCGAGCGAUGUGAGUGUUGAGAGUAGCAAAAUUCCAGAGGAAACAGUGCCAGAGAAAGUAAUGGUGCUGAACGACAAUCAGGAAACAGAGGCUUCGAACAGGUGGACGCAAGAUAGAUACAUUCUGAUACCGUCCUCGGCUGCUGGAAACACAAAAGUUGGAAAUCAGCAUUCCAGCUGGACCGAAAAAUCAUCUCUAGAAACAGACCGUGACAUGCAAAAUGCUUGUGCAGAACAAAUUUCUGAAAAGAAAGGCCCAGUUUAUCUGACGGUCCACGGUCCAACAGUUGACCAGUUAGACCUUGAACAAGACCAAGUAGAUUAUAAAGCAACAAGCCUCUCUUCCAGAGAUCCAAGUCCCAGUAGAAGUCCAGCUUUUCCAGCUUCAUUCAGGAGAUCCACACCUAGUCCCAGGAGUCCAUUCUCUCCCUUCUCCUCUCUUUCACCAAUGUCCCCAUUUUCCUCGUCUGAUGUAACAGACGACAGCGUCUUCUACAGCCCAAAGCUGCACCGCCGCAGAGAAUGCUCCUCUCCGUGCGAGCACGGAGAAGGGAUCAGCUUGGGAGUUCCGAGAAAAAGCCGGGCAUCCGUAGGUCCUCCAUGUGUGAGCCCAGGACAUGACAAGGAAAACUUGGCAUCCUCUUAUGCAGACUUAAAGUAUGGCAUUGAGCCUGGGAAGUCCUUUUCUGUGAGUUCUGUUCUCUCCAGUCGACCCUCUGGACCGGGACGUAUUUCCACAGGAUCCAGAUUCAUGAGUGUGGGUGACCUCUCUCAGUCUGCCUUUUCUUGUGGAGGUAAUAGUGGAGAUUUGGAUCAGUGGUCUGUCAAAUCCGAUUGGAGCACAGUGUAUGACUUUCAGGCUUCUGAAGAUGGUCGAAAAUCAUAUUUCCCAAGUGAUCCUGGUAAAAUGCGAUCAAGAUCUUUGCCUCGAUCGCUGACCAGGUGCUUGGCAAACUGGAGCUCUGGAGACUCUCCUCAACAUGUAAAUGCUACAGCUUCCAAGCCUGCUCACCUCCGGAGUCCAAACAUGAACAUUUGCCAGUUUGUGUGGGAUGCAGAGGCCCCACCCACUCCUCCUCCAACACCUCCUCUGUCACCAGUGUCCAGGCGCAUGUCCAAAGCACCCAGCCUUUCCUCUCCGACCUUUCCUAGCUCGCCAGGAGUACUACAUCCAGGGGACAGCCAGUCCAGGGGGCAUUUGCCCUCCAGAGGUUAUGUAUCCAGCCUCAGCACCUUUGAUGAGUCAUCAGACAGCAGCUCGGACACAACAACUGAUGACGAAUACUACUUAGAAACAGAUGAUGAGGGAGAAAAAGAGACAGAACUGUAAAAGCAGAACAAGUGCUUUAAAAAUGCAAGUUUCUGAAACAUCCAUGAGGGAGGGGAUAAAGGAGGUGCUGUAAUCUUUUGGUGUGUAAUGACAUCUGCAUCUCUCCUGCUUUUGUUUUUUUGUUUUGUGUUUUUUCACUCUGUUGAGACCUGAGCUCAGUCGGGACACCAGGUAUCCUGCAUGAUUUGGUUUUCGGAAGUGGUUGUUGUGGUCAGGGUAAAAAUAUACACAAUACAAGUAAGCAUGGAUUAUCAGCAUAAGUUUAAAUACGUUUUAAGUAUGUACCAUAUGUUGUAUUUGAAUGCAGACCUGUAAUUCCUGGAUAACAAAUAGACAUUUAUAGUUUGAGUGUCGCAUGGCAUUAGUGAGGUAUAUGCUGUAUCUUUGUAGUUGUUUCAAAGAACAAACUACUCUGUAAGCUUAGGCUUUUUGCACAAGUCUUUAGGUUUGCAUUUCAUCCUAGUAGGUAGCAAUAAGUACUGAGGCAACGUGGAUAAAUGUGCUGUCAUAUGAUAUUCCAUCAUCUCUGUUCUGCUAUGUUUAAGAAAUGAAAUUAGUUUUUGGUAAAUGUUCUAAUCGUAAAGCUGAUAUUUUCUUAGCACUUGUUUUGUUUUGUUUUUCAAAACAGGAAGAGUUUUGAUUUUUUUUGUACUUAGGGAUGAAAUAUAAUCUUGAUAUGAUUAACAUUUGUUUUCACCCUUAUAAAGUGCUCUAUACGGUGCCUGCUCUUAUUUGCACAGUGAUAAAUUCUUAAUAUAUCUAUUUUAUAAAUAAAUGUAAUAUUUCUAACAAGACCUGAUGUUUUGGGGAUUUCUCAUCACCUUGGUUACACUUUUGUUGUUAUGUCAGAUUAUAUAACCAUCAUCGGCAUGAUUUGUCCUUGAGUCAUUAGUUUUGUCCAUUGCAGUGCUCGCAUGCUUUAAGUGAAAAGG